UUGCGACCGCAUCACGUUGAAACACUGGAUCCUAUACGAUCGCCGAAAUUAAGGAACGUCGAGCCUUGUCAGUACCUAAAUGAAUGACCACUUGGGAAUACCAAGUGCUGUAAG